rnacentral:rRNA from 1 species
GGAACAUGUCUAGCUUGCUAGAUGAUGUCGAGUGGCGGACGGGUGAGUAAUACUUAGGAACAUGCCUUUGGGUGGGGGAUAACUAUUGGAAACGAUAGCUAAUACCGCAUGAUGUCUACGGACCAAAGGGGGCUUUUAGCUCCCGCCCAGAGAGUGGCCUAAGCGAGAUUAGCUUGUUGGUGAGGUAAAGGCUCACCAAGGCGACGAUCUCUAGCUGUUCUGAGAGGAAGAUCAGCCACACUGGAACUGAGACACGGCCCAGACUCCUACGGGAGGCAGCAGUGGGGAAUAUUGCACAAUGGGCGCAAGCCUGAUGCAGCCAUGCCGCGUGUGUGAAGAAGGCCUUCGGGUUGUAAAGCACUUUCAGUAAGGAGGAAAGGGAUGUAGUUAAUAGCUGCAUUCUGUGACGUUACUUACAGAAGAAGCACCGGCUAACUUCGUGCCAGCAGCCGCGGUAAUACGAGGGGUGCAAGCGUUAAUCGGAAUUACUGGGCGUAAAGCGUUCGUAGGCGGUUGAUUAAGCAAGAUGUGAAAGCCCAGGGCUCAACCUUGGAACUGCAUUUUGAACUGGUCAACUAGAGUACUGUAGAGGGUGGUGGAAUUUCCAGUGUAGCGGUG